rnacentral:rRNA from 1 species
UAUUGCGCAAUGGGCGGAAGCCUGACGCAGCGACGCCGCGUGGGGGAUGAAGGCCUUCGGGUUGUAAACCUCUUUCAGCACCGACGAAUCUGACGGUAGGUGCAGAAGAAGCGCCGGCUAACUACGUGCCAGCAGCCGCGGUAAUACGUAGGGCGCAAGCGUUGUCCGGAAUUAUUGGGCGUAAAGAGCUCGUAG